AUGCAGAUGACGAAUCCCAAAUAGGACGAAACGCGUGUCCUGAAU
rnacentral:hammerhead_ribozyme from 1 species